CACACAGCAAAAAAAGACAGUUCCCAAGAUAAUGUUCAUUUAUCAAACAAAGAGAAGAAAAAGAAUGAGCUUGUUAUCGAUGACAAUUUAACAUAUGAGGGCAGCGAUCAUUUAUUUGGACCCCAAAAUGGAGCAGGAACUGGAAAAGGACAAACAGAUAACAUUCCCAUGUCAUCUAACGUAAAGACAGGAAAUGAUAAUAAAAUGGUUAUCGAUGAUAAUCUCUUGUAUGAAGGAAGUGAUCAUAUUUUUGGAUCUCAAAAUGGAACUGAAUCUGGAAAAAAUGUAGAAAGAGGAAUAUUUGGUCAAACAACUUCAUCUGAAGUUAAAAGAAACAGCACUACAGGUGGCAAAUCAAAGAAAAGUAAAAAACCUCCAAAGAAACCAGAUCCUGAAGCUAUCUACACAGAGGUUAUUAAGAAAAAGACUGGUCAAGAUAAUAAAACUGCUAGUGCGGAGAGAGGAAAUUAUGAAAACUCUGAUGUCAAAGCGAAACCAACUACUCCAAAGAAACCAGCUAUCAACAAGGAGGGAUUGAAUUAUGCUGAUGUUGUUUUCACGAACAAAACACCAGCUAAAGAUGUGAAACCAGUUUAUCAUGAGGCAGUUGAGUAUGCUGGUAUACAGACUGGUGUUCGAGGACCAACUCCACCACCUGUUUCUGAUAGCAGUGAUGAUGAUGACACACCACCACCUGCAGCACCAGCACCUAAACCAAAGACAAAGCCAAUGAAAACUAAGUAGAAUUAAAUUGAAGAAUCUAGAUGGAUCGCACGAUCUACCCAAAUCUCUUUCAAAUCAUGAUCUAACCCAUUAUCUCUUAAAUCAUAAUAUACUCCAAUCUCUUUCAAAUCAUGACCUACCCCCAAUCUCUUUCAAACCACGAUCUACCCCAAUCUCUUUCAGAUGUUAAACUUUUUGAUUGAACAUUCUGUACAUUACUGAAUAGAUCCAAUAAUGACAUCAAAAACAUGAAACACAAUGAAAAUCUUUUAGCUCCUUGACUGUCUUCAAUCAUAAGACAGACAGACUUGAUUUAAUUUUAGUAAAUCUUUCUACCCAGCCAUGUCAUCUCCAUUAAUUGAUGUGGUAUUAUAGUUAAUCAUACUCCCUCAAAUCAACAGAGGAUUGUUUUUCAUUUUCUGUGUAAAACAAUUGUCAGUUGAAUAUCCCCACGUAGAUAAUUAGGAUCUUGAUUGUGUAAUGUAGAGAACAAGCUAUACUGUUCUAAGUUUAUAUGUUUUUGUUGCUAGAUAACUUACAUUUAUUAUCCUUAACUGACUUUUUAUUGUUUUAAGAGUCUUUCAUAGUUUAACUAUUAUCUCUGUCUUAUUAUAUAGGCCUCCGAGCAAAGAAGUACACCGGGGGGGGGGGGCUUCAUACUAAAUCAGAGGCAAAUGUCCACGUGUAACACAAUAACAGGCAUUUAUUGUUUAGUAUUUGUUGACAUCAAGUCACAACGUGAACAUAUUGGUAUGGUAUGGUAAAGUAUAGUAUAGUAUAGUAUUUAUUGACAUCAAGUCACUACAUACAUAUAUUAGUAUAGUAUGGUUUAGUAUAGUGUACAUUUAAUGUGGACGUAUAUUGUUGUCACCGGCAUCUAUCUACCCCUUGUUCGUAGUCAAAUAUCUACAAUACUUGUCUGGCCCGGGGUUUUGUCAGAUACUUAACGAUUUUUACAUUGAUGCUUCAUGUGCACCAACUGGGCUAAUGAAGGUGGGUAUACCAUAUGAUAUGAGGGAAAUUUUGUCAGGAAAGUCAAGUGGGAGUCAGGAAGAACCUUUAUUUUUAGACAUGAAAUUUUGUAAAUGUGAUACAUGGCAUGGCUCAUGGUAGAAGUCUUAUGUAUGUGAUACAGCUCCUGGCUAGUGGUAGAAACUUUGUAAAGUGAUACAGGGCAUAGCUCACGGUAGAAAUCUUGUAAGAUUUGAGUAUAAGGAUGAACCCUAUUUAUUUAAUCUUAAAUUUGACUUUCAAAGCUUUUAAAUAUAUGGAACUUUUUGAAGAAUUGUACAGUAUUAGAUUUGACUUCUAAAGCUUUCGAAUAUGAUAUUUUAGAGCAUGUGAAUAUAUGCUGGAUUGAUUCCCUGUAGAAUUGUGAGGGAUUUACUUAGACCUUUAAGAAUUUGAUUAGCGGGAUUUGUUGACAUUGAAUUAAGGGCUACAAUAAACGACUUUGCUGUUGGUUAUUUAGAACUGGAGUGAGCGACUUUGCUGUUCGUAAGCAAAUUAGGGAGUCGGACAUGCCCUUGUCUAUGUUUUGUUUUAUAAAUAAUUUGUAAUAAUUGUUUCUACUUAGCAGUAUUAUAAAUAUUAUUGUUAUGAUAAUUAAAGUUAAAUAUAUUUUAUUUAUGUUUGAUAUAUGAGCUAAUGUUGUUUAUUCUCAACUGAAUUUUUAUGAACCAAUCUGUAUGGCAUAAGCUAAUGUUGUUUAUUCUCAACUGAAUUUUCAUUUACCAAGUUGUAUGAUAUGAGCUAAUGUUGUUUAUUCUAAUUGAGUUUUCAUAUACCAAUCUGUAUAAUAUGCUUAACUUUGCAUUAAGUAUGACAUGUAUAAUUAACAUAAUAUUUUAUUUUUAAGUAUGACACAGGAUAUAGUUAACUAUUUUAAGUGACCGUCACUAAUUUAGAAUUGACUUUCUCAUUCUUUCUGUUGUUUGUUUUAAUCAGAGAUUUUCAACAAGCCAACCACAAAAUAUUUAUAGAAAUUAAAUUAAUAAAUAGUUAUAUUUUUACAUUCAUUUGUGUACCAUACAAUACCUGGUUUAGCUUGGUUCCUUGUGUAUAUGUAUAUUGAUUUAUAACAGAAGAGAUUUGAUUUAUUAUGUUGCUCCACUUUGUUUUAUUGUCUUUAUAUGAAAUAGUUAGCCCAGUCGAUACAGACAAGUAGGACGUUAAAAUCAUUUUAUUUUAAUUUAUUUAUAUAAAACACUCUGUUAGAGAUUGUAUUCAACAACUGACUGGUUAGAGAUCGUAUUCAACAACUGAGUGGUUAGGAUCAGUAUUCAUCUGUGAUUUGGUGGUGUUUUUAUACUUAUUUUAUUAUCAGAUCUAGCACAGAUCGAUUGAAUACAAUAUGGUAUAAUAUAUACAUUUACUGUUUUAUAUGUAAAAAUAACAAGAUUAAGGUAAAAAAAAAAAGAAGGUACCAGUCACACCCAUAGAAAAUGAAGGUUAACAUUAUAGAAUGAAUAUAUAUUUUUAGAUUUCUUGUUUAUGCAUUACCUUUAUGUUAUUGUUAAUCUUGUAUCCGUUUUUAAAUAUAUAAAUUGAUAAAUAGUUAUUUGAUUUGAUUUGUAUUAUUCAUUUAUAAUACUCAUUACAAUUAUUUUACAUUCCUGGUUUUUUUUUUAAUUUGUAAGUUUAUGAUAUUCUGUGUUCUCAAAAUAUUAUUUUAAGCUGUUUUUGUAGUUUUUGUCCCCCGCCUUUCGAAGAAAGCAGGGGACUAUUAAAAUGGGUUCGUCCGUCUGUCUGUCUGUCUGUCUGUCUGUCUGUCCCGUCUGUCUGUCCCGUCUGUCUAUCCGUCACACUUUUUGGGACACAAUAACUCUCUUCCUAAUUGAGCUAGAAUGUUCAAACUUGGUGUAUGUGUUUAUUAGGUCAAUGCCUUGAUGGAGUUCGAAGAUGAGCAUUUUCCGCUUAGGGUAAGCAGAGAUAAGCAAUUUGAUUGGUUGAUGCUUUGGGACACGAUAACUCUCUUCCUAAUUGGGCUAGAAUGUUCAAACUUGGUGUAUGUGUUGAUUAGGUCAAUGCCUUGAUGGAGUUCGAAGAUGAGCAUUUUCCGCUUAGGGUAAGCAGAGAUAAGCAAUUUGAUUGGUUGAUGCUUUGGGACACGAUAACUUUUAAUUGAGCUAGAAUGUUCAAACUUGGUGUAUGUGUUUAUUAGGUCAAUGCCUUGAUGGAGUUCGAAGAUGAGCAUUUUCCGCUUAGGGUAAGCAGAGAUAAGCAAUUUGAUUGGUUGAUACUUUGGGGCACGAUAACUCUCUUCCUAAUUGAGCUAGAAUGUUCAAACUUGGUGUAUGUGUUGAUUAGGUCAAUGCCUUGAUGGAGUUCGAAGAUGAGCAUUUUCCGCUUAGGGUAAGCAGAGAUAAGCAAUUUGAUUGGUUGAUGCUUUGGGACACGAUAACUUUAUUUUGUUUUGUUUUUUAUUUCGGCGGGGGACAUCAGCCUCACUGUUGGCUUGUUUCCAUUUAUUAAGGUUGAUUAAACAUGGCAUCUACAACUCAACUGAGUGUUGCAGCUAAUAACGCAAAGGGACACGGGUAAUCCCUAUAAUUAUAUGGGCACCCCAUGCAUAGAAUUUAAAACGCCACAGGACUUGAAGCAUGUAAAAUAGUUAAAUUUCCAACUACUGAUUUAACAUUCCAUGGAUAAAUAAAAUAUUUGCAUAAUAAGAUAUUAGAAUUUGUUUUGUUUCUUUUCCUCCACUUAAACGUAUGUUAUACUGCUGACUAUACACAAAUUCAGGCAACCGAAUUCUGGGUAACUGAAGUAGCACGUACAGGUAUUGGGAUUUAAACAUAUUUUAAAGCCACAACACUAACUUUAUAUUGCUCACUUAUUUUUUGUAUUCUGAUAUUUUUGUAGGUUUUUAUAGAUAUCAUUGGUUCCGCUUGAUAUGUUUACAGUUAAUACUGAAUAAUUUUGAUAGCUUGUAUUUAGACUGUUUUAACACUAAAACUGAAUUUUACAGUUGGAACUAGUACUGCUGAUAUUAAUUUAAUCAUUCCUUUUGUAAGCUAUUGUAACUUAUAUCAAUUAUAUUUACUGAUGAAUAAAACUUUCACCUUAGUUAUACAAUGCAUGACCACGUAAAGAAAUUGGAAAAUUAUCUUAUUUAUAUAAUAAUAAUAAUAAAAAUGUACCGUAUAUUUUUGGAGACACAAUUUAAAUAUUUUUUUUAUGUCCUUGGGUCCAGGCUAUGUUACCAGGGACUCAUUUUAUCUAUUGAUUUUCAGCUUACUAAAAUAAUCGUUAAUUAUAUAUUUUUGCUAUUUUAUUAUAAAAUAAUUGUUCAUUAUAUAUUUUUGCUAAUGAAUGUAAUAUUCAUAAAAAUUUUAUUGACAGGUUCUUGUUGGACAUAUAUUUUAACUGUCCUUAAAGAUUCAUUUAAAAACAAAUUAUUUUGUAAAUAUCUGUUACAUUCAUUUGAAACAGGAGGAACAGCUUGUUCCAUUAUCCAUACUUGUUAUGAUAAAAUUAAAAUUUAGGCCACCUCUAAAACAAUUCGGUCAUGAUCAACAAAUUAAUGUAUCAUUAACUGGGCCGGUAUUACAGACCAAUUUAUAAUUAAGAUUGUUUAUUACAGAGAUUUGUAAUUAAGAUUACGCAGUUGUUUUUGUCCCCCGCCUUUCGAAGAAAGCAGGGGACUAUUAAAAUGGGUUUGUCCGUCUGUCUGUCUGUCUGUCUGUCUGUCACACUUUUUGGGACACAAUAACUAUCUUUUUAAUUGAGCUAGAAUGUUCAAACUUGGUGUAGGUGUUUAUUAGGUCAAUACCUUGAUGGAGUUCGAAGAUGAGCAUUUUCCGCUUAGGGUAAGUGGAGAUAAGCAAUUUGACUGAUUGAUGCUUUGGGACACGAUAACUUUAGUUCUAAUUAAGUGAGAGUGAUGAAACUUAGUGUAUAGUUUCAUUACAUCAAUACCGUGACUAAGUUCGAUAAUGAACAUUUUCUGCUGAGGGUAAGCAGAGCGAUAAGCAAUUUCAUUUGGCGAGACUUUGAAACACAAUAACUCUCCUUCUAAUUGAGGUAGAACGUUCAAACUUGGUGUAGGCAUUCAUUAGGCGAAUCCCUUGAUGGAGUUCGAUGAUAAAGAUUGUCUGCUUACGGUAGGCAGAGACAAUCAAUCUGAUUGGUUGAUGUUUUAGGGGCACGAUAACUUUGGUUAUAUGGAGUGAGAGCGAUGAAACUCUGAAUAUAGAUCAUUAUAUCAUUACCUUGACUAAGUUCGAUUGUACGAAUUUUCUGCCUGGGCUAAGGAGCGAUAAGCAAUUUGGAACAUAACAACUCUGCUUUUGAUUGAGGUAGAAUGUUUAUUAAGUGAAUGUCUUGACUGAUUUCAAUGAUUAACAUUUCAAGUUAAAGCUAAACAGAUCUAAUCAAUUUCAUUGGUCGAUGCUUUGUGACAAGAUAAUCUUGAUUCUAUCUGAUAGAUAGUGAUGAAAUUUAGUGUGUAGUUUGAUUGCUCGAUACUUUUGAAAAAAAAUAAAUGUGCGAUUAAUUAAUAUGUGUCAUCUAUUUAUUUUGUGAUUUCGGCGGGGGACAUCAGCCUCACUGUUGGCUUGUUUUCAUAAAUAAAAUUAUUGUUUGUU